rnacentral:misc_RNA from 1 species
AACCAUUCUCACCUGCGGCUAGACCUGCGGAAGGAUCAUUAACAUUUUUGGAGGUAGGCUGUAUAAGUCUGGUUGGUAACAACUAGCAUGGCCCCUCUGAUUUGUACCCUUGUCUAUUUGCGCACUUAUGUUUCCUCGGUGGGCUUGCCUGCCGAUUGGACAAACUUAUAACCUUUUUAAUUGUUAAAUCAGCGUCUGAAACAAACAUAAUAAUUACAACUUUCAACAACGGAUCUCAGA